ACUUUGUAAGCAAAAAUGGCGACUUUUUUCCCUUCUCUUGGACCCAACUCAAUAUUAUCUCCAUUUGUAGACCGAACAAGAACCCUAAACCCAGUUUUCCAGCGAACCCACUUUGGAAAUCUUCCACUUAACAAACCCUUUUCAAGGGGUAUGCUUGGAGUAGCUCGAUUCGGGUUGGGGCAGGAUCCAUUUCCUGACCCGGAAACUGCAGAGUUGUUUUUCAAGGAUUUGCUUACUCGGACUGAAGGGUUUUUGUAUACAGUUGCUGAUGCUGCUGUUUCAGGUUCUGUUGAUACUGUUGUUGACACCACUGAAAGUGUUAAACAAAAUAGUGAUUGGCUUUCUGGUAUUACUAAUGGAAUGGAGACUGUUUUGAAGGUUCUGAAGGAUG
rnacentral:misc_RNA from 1 species